AGGAGGAGGAAGAGGCCACCAUAGAAAGAGAUGACUUAUGAACAGCUUAGAGAAGAAGAAAGGGAAGAGGAGGAGAUCAAUCGGAGAGGAGGGAAGAGGAUGAAGAGGAGGAGGAAGGGGAAGUGGUGGAGGAAUGAGUGGAGGUAGAGGGAGCUUCCAUGGAGGAGGAGAAUGAGUAAGAAGAAAAAGGGAGGAGGAAGGAAGAGGGAGAAAGAAGGAUGUCGAUGAAGAAGGAAAAAGGGAUCAAUCGGAGAGGAGGAAGGAGGAGAGAGCAAGAGGAGGAAGGGGAGACAGCGGAGGAAAGAUGGAGGUGAAGAGAGCCACCAUAGAGAAGAAAAAAUGAGUAAAGAGGAAAAGAAAGAGAAAAGGGAGAAGGGAGAAAGAGGGAUGUUGGUAUCAGAGGAGGAGAGAAUCAAUCAAGA
rnacentral:lncRNA from 1 species